GAUGAACGCUGGCGGCGUGCCUAAUACAUGCAAGUCGAGCGAAUGGAUUAAGAGCUUGCUCUUAUGAAGUUAGCGGCGGACGGGUGAGUAACACGUGGGUAACCUGCCCAUAAGACUGGGAUAACUCCGGGAAACCGGGGCUAAUACCGGAUAACAUUUUGAACCGCAUGGUUCGAAAUUGAAAGGCGGCUUCGGCUGUCACUUAUGGAUGGACCCGCGUCGCAUUAGCUAGUUGGUGAGGUAACGGCUCACCAAGGCAACGAUGAGUAGCCGACCUGAGAGGGUGAUCGGCUACACUGGGACUGAGACACGGCCCAGACUCCUACGGGAGGCAUCAGUAGGGAAUCUUCCGCAAUGGACGAAAGUCUGACGGAGCAACGCCGCGUGAGUGAUGAAGGCUUUCGGGUCGUAAAACUCUGUUGUUAGGGAAGAACAAGUGCUAGUUGAAUAAGCUGACACCUUGACGGUACCUAACCAGAAAGCCACGGCUAACUACGUGCCAGCCGCCGCCGUAA
rnacentral:rRNA from 1 species